AUUAGAGGCAUUGGGGGCG
rnacentral:snRNA from 1 species